rnacentral:rRNA from 1 species
CCCUUAGAUGUUCUGGGCCGCACGCGCGCUACACUGAGCCCUUCAUCGAGUUUACAACCUUGGCCGGUAGGUCUGGGUAAUCUUCUCAAAGGGGCUCGUGCUGGGGAUAGAUUAUUGUAAUUUUUAAUCUUCAACGAGGAAUUCCUAGUAAACGCAAGUCAACAGCUUGCAUUGAUUACGUCCCUGCCCUUUGUACACACCGCCCGUCGCUACUACCGAUUGAAUGGCUUAGUGAGCCCGAGGGACUGUUGCACCUAGAGGGUUUUCUCUCCAGGAGCAGCCGGGAACUCGGUCAAACUUGAUCAUUUAGAGGAAGUAAAAGUUGUAACA